rnacentral:rRNA from 1 species
GUGGGACCAAUGAUUGGGGUGAAGUCGUAACAAGGUAGCCGUAUCGGAAGGUGCGGCUGGAUCACCUCCUUUCU